rnacentral:rRNA from 1 species
UGGGGAAUAUUGCACAAUGGGCGAAAGCCUGAUGCAGCAACGCCGCGUGAGUGAUGAAGGUCUUCGGAUUGUAAAGCUCUGUCUUUUGGGACGAUAAUGACGGUACCAAAGGAGGAAGCCACGGCUAACUACGUGCCAGCAGCCGCGGUAAUACGUAGGUGGCGAGCGUUGUCCGGAUUUACUGGGCGUAAAGGGUGCGUAGGCGGAUGUUUAAGUGAGAUGUGAAAUACCCGGGCUUAACUUGGGUGCUGCAUUUCAAACUGGAUAUCUAGAGUGCAGGAGAGGAGAAUGGAAUUCCUAGUGUAGCGGUGAAAUGCGUAGAGAUUAGGAAGAACACCAGUGGCGAAGGCGAUUCUCUGGACUGUAACUGACGCUGAGGCACGAAAGCGUGGGUAGCAAACAGGAUUAGAUACCCUGGUAGUCCACGCCGUAAAAUGAUGAGUACUAGGUGUAGGAGGUAUCGACCCCUUCUGUGCCGCAGUAAACACAUUAAGUACUCCGCCUGGGAAGUACGAUCGCAAGAUUAAAACUCUAAAGUGAAUUGAC